rnacentral:rRNA from 1 species
AUUGAACGCUGGCGGCAUGCCUUACACAUGCAAGUCGAACGGCAGCACGGGUGCUUGCACCUGGUGGCGAGUGGCGAACGGGUGAGUAAUACAUCGGAACAUGUCCUGUAGUGGGGGAUAGCCCGGCGAAAGCCGGAUUAAUACCGCAUACGAUCCACGGAUGAAAGCGGGGGACCUUCGGGCCUCGCGCUAUAGGGUUGGCCGAUGGCUGAUUAGCUAGUUGGUGGGGUAAAGGCCUACCAAGGCGACGAUCAGUAGCUGGUCUGAGAGGACGACCAGCCACACUGGGACUGAGACACGGCCCAGACUCCUACGGGAGGCAGCAGUGGGGAAUUUUGGACAAUGGGCGAAAGCCUGAUCCAGCAAUGCCGCGUGUGUGAAGUAGGCCUUCGGGUUGUAAAGCACUUUUGUCCGGAAAGAAAUCCUUGACUCUAAUACAGUCGGGGGAUGACGGUACCGGAAGAAUAAGCACCGGCUAACUACGUG